UUGAAUGAGUUGCCAGAAAUGACGUCCGAAUGUGCAAGGGAUCUCUCUCAACGAUCUUAUAGUUCAGCGAGGCCUUGAUGCGUAGCGGCCAGUCAUUGUAUUCCAUUGCUAUCGCACCAUAGAAUGGAUGGGGUAGCAACCUCGUGUUCCGUCUCUCGUCUCGCCACCGCCUUUUCGUCUCAUCAAGGGUGUAGUGGGGCUAGGGUGCGGCCUGCGGAGAAUCGUUGAUGCUCCUGUAUUCAAUUAGUGCGCCGGGAUUGCUACGGUCAAUGCUCGCCGCCAAGGUCGGAUCCGGAGUUAUCUUUCUGAAGUUACCACUCAUCACAAAGGCUGCUUGCUGAUGAUCCGGCUUUCUCCAAACUCCAAACAACUACAGAAAAUCCAGUAGCUGCACAUUCCUACUAUCAAAUUAACCAAGAUUUGUGCGCUUUUGUGAUGUUGUCUUUCUGCGGCCAUUGCUGGGGGAAUACUUUUUGAUGUCCUGCUAUCAUACGAGGCUGCAUUGUGAUGGGUUCUAGUUUCCGCAAUUUCCAUGUUUGGUGGUUGAAUUUGAGGUGUGUCAUCACCUGCACAGCUUGCUGAAACCUUGCAAUAAGAAAGUGCUCCACACAGUAAGUUCCUCUUUGUUAGACGAUAAUAUGAAAAUGCCCCUAAAUCAUUUUUAUAUAGGAAUAUGCUUUGGUAUACUUAUUUGCCUAUAUGAAUAUCCUUUGUUAUACUUAAAUCAUUUGCCUAUAUGACAUCACUUGCCCAUUUUUUAGAAAACAAUUUAAUGAUUCUAUUGACUGAAUAAUUAUGUGAUGUAAUUAUGCAAGUUUAGAGUAUUGUGGAGACAUUUGAUGUCAUUAAUUGGGAGUUUUGUUAAUAUUUUUUAUAUUUUUUUUUUGUUAAAUGUGAAACACGGUUUGCUGGUGUAGGAUUUACUUAUAUAUAAAUAUAUUAAUUAUAUAUUUAUAUACUAGAACUAACUUUAAUAAAAUAACUUUAAAAAGAAAAAAAAAAAUCUGGAUUAUUAUUAUUAUUUUUUUUAAUUAUUAUUGUUACAUGUGUCAAAUCCUGAUAGAAGGGUGAUUUUGUACAUGUUCUUUUGUUCACACAUAGAUACGUUAUGCUUUCAAAAUUUACAUCAACCAUUUUAUGGAUUUUGUACAUAUUUCUUUUGGCCAUCAAUGAUUAUGCUUUCGGGUGGAGUAUUGAAUUUGGGGAUUGAAUUGAUAGUUGCAAUUGACUGUGAAAAAAGCUUGUUAAUGGUCAUUUGUCCAGGUAUUUCACUAAUGCAAUAUCUUGUUUUAUGUGUAGUUUAUUGUCUAUUUUUGUUGUUUCUUCAAUUCUGUAUUGUAAAUUUUUGUCUGCCAGGUGUGUUUCUAAUUAUAUUUGUAUCUUCACUAUGUUGAUACAUACUCAAGACAUUACUGUAAUAAUAUUUAAGCUAAUAGAUA